rnacentral:rRNA from 1 species
UCGGGAAUUUUGGGCAAUGGGCGAAAGCCUGACCCAGCAACGCCGCGUGAAGGAUGAAGUAUUUCGGUAUGUAAACUUCGAAAGAAUAGGAAGAAUAAAUGACGGUACUAUUUAUAAGGUCCGGCUAACUACGUGCCAGCAGCCGCGGUAAUACGUAGGGUGCGAGCGUUAAUCGGAAUUACUGGGCGUAAAGCGUGCGCAGGCGGUUCUAUAAGACAGAUGUGAAAUCCCCGGGCUCAACCUGGGAAUGGCAUUUGUGACUGUAGAGCUAGAGUACGGUAGAGGGGGAUGGAAUUCCGCGUGUAGCAGUGAAAUGCGUAGAUAUGCGGAGGAACACCGAUGGCGAAGGCAAUCCCCUGGACCUGUACUGACGCUCAUGCACGAAAGCGUGGGGAGCAAACAGGAUUAGAUACCCAAGUAGUCCCUGAGCGGGCUGGCAAGGCGCAU